GUGUGAUCCUUUUGCCGGAAACAGAUCAGGAAUGCUCUUCAUAACUCCUUAAGUUACUGAACCAGUACGCCCAGCUCACUUCACAACGGGAGGUCAUUACAACAAACAUGCCCCAUGCCCAAACAGGCUGGCCAGGUUGUGUAGGAGAAAUGGUUGGAGACAAAGGAACCUAUCAAAGGCAGACCAGGCUGAAGUGCGGAAAGGCUCCUAGCUGAUGGAGUGCCCUGGGGUCAAUAAUGCAGUAUUCUCAGGACCAGCUGAUUUUCAGGUCCUCACAUAAUCUGCUUGAUAGAUAUUGCUCAAAAACUUGUCAACUUUUGGACCUGACAGACCCCAUGACUUGAGUCUGAAAGAUACAGAAGGAUUUGGAGGCCAUGGGAGAGAUGAGGCAGUGUUGGAGCCUUGCAGAAUAGAGAGAAGUGGACCCCCACACUAAAUUGGAUCCCAAAUCUGCUGUCAAACCCCCCACACCGUGAAUUUCUGAACCCAUAUCAUAUUUCUAUCUCAGAAUGUCCUGUUUUCCCAAAAUGCAUUUAAUGAGCAUCAGAUUUCUCAGGGAAAGCUUGGAGAAAUACAUCUUAGAAAGUAUUCUGCCAGCUGAGUGGGAGACAGAACACCUGGGUUGUAUUUUAAGCCUUUCCACUGAGUCACUGGGGCAAGUCACUUGCCAUUUCUGUUCCAGUUGCCCACAUGAUUAAUGGUGAAGAUAAUGCUUCCCGCUGUCACGGAGGAGUGGGGAGGUGCUGAGAGGAUUUAUUCAAUAGUGCUUUUAAAUGCUUUGAGAUCAUCCCAUGUCUGCAAAUGCAAAUGACGAUUAUAUUUACUUUUCUUAAAUUAAAGACGUUUG